AUUUUUUAUUUUGCAAAUAAUGCCAUAACUCUCACAAAGCUAUAGGAACAGAUAAAGUUAUGCCUAGUUCAUUUGUUUGUAGAAGUAGGCCUCUGUAUUUGCUGCCCACGUCUGAUAAACUUGUAUGGUUGAAGAUAUGUAAAAAAUAGUCAGUUUAGUGCAUUAACGUGUACCUAAUAUCAGCCAACAUCACAAGCUACUGUGCAAUACCUUCUUUGUCCCCCUAUAAAAUAAAGAUGAUAGUACUGUUUACAUUUACUUUAUCUCAGUACAAUAUUGAGCUCCUUAAUCAUGUCCUGCCAUGCAAGUACACUUAACCUUUGGAAGUCCUUGAGGAAAAAAAAGAAAAAGGCAAAGAAAAAGAAAAAGCAAGACAAUGUGAAAUCAAAUUACAUUGGAGGAAGGGGGAACUUUAAACCUGGUGCAAACUAGGAUUGGUUGGAUGUUUUCGUAAGAAAAACAUCAUGUGGUCAAUAUUUUCCCUUCACUUUUAUAGAAGAUAUUUAUAGUUUUUAAUAACUGCAAAGACUCACACUCAGCAUCUAAUGUUGCAUGCUCUGUUGUAGCUAUAAUGCUGACAAUACCAUAAAACCAGCAUUACAGUACCUCAGUAGGAACAUAUUGUUGUAUGCUGUAUGUCACAUAGUAUGUGACCCCCUCCUCUGUUGCCUCCCCACACCCUGCGGGUUUUCCUGGGCAGCUUGGCAGCCAUUUGGUGCUUCUCAGUAAGUGACAAAAACAUCUUCCUUUUUCAUUCCACCUCUUUCCAGCUCACAUACAGCCUCUGCUGUCAUCAAAUGUGAAUGGAUCUUUGGAGAAGGAUGAUGCAAAUCAGGGAGGGGAUGGUCAGCCCAUCUGACCGACAGCUGCUAAGAUUUAGGAUAUUUCUAUCCAUCACUAGAGUCACUAGGAUCACUAGGAUGCUGGGGAGAUAGCUCAGUUUGUGAGUGAGUUUCUGCUGAGCUGGGGAAAGAGGGAGUGGAAAAGAAAAACAUGGAAAAGGGAACAGGGAGUAAUGAGCGAAGAUAGAAAAAGUUUGAAGGAAAUUGGAGAUUGCAAGAAAUUGAGGGAAAAUGGAAAAUUAAGAGAUUAAAAAGUAGGCUACAGUGUCUCCGAGAAGGAGUAGGAGAGAAGUAAGAGAAAGGAAAAGGAAGUACAGAAAAUUGGUUUGAAGAGUUUGCUGACACUGUUAAAAAAUGUGUAGCAUCAGGAAUUUCCCAGAAUUUUCCAACUCUACAAAAAGGAGAAGACAGGCAAUGGCUGAAAGAGCUGGUCUCAGUUUAAUUAAAUGUUUGUUUAAGUCUAACGUAUUUGAAAAUUAUAAUUGGUUUCCCCUAGCAAUGCCCUUAACCAGGCCCCUCUCACAAAGAUCUUUGAAAAGCAGAUAACUCACAAAAAAUCCCAGUUGGCAACACUUUUUCCCUGAAAAAGAAGUUUACCGAAAUCUUCAAAGGCAAGGAUCUGGCAUAAUUUUCUCUUGAGUAAAGUUAACUCUGCAAGUUAAAGCCCUGCCAGGCAGAACAGUGUACUCCACCUAUCUGCAAGCUUGGUCCCAAACCUAUGAGCAAGAGUGACGGAUGUUGCUACCCAUCAGGUUGGGGGGAGGACCAGUCCAGUUCUUCCAUAUGACCCACCCCUGCUCAUGGACCACUAAGUGUCCAGCUGUGGUACUACAGCAUGCAAUCUGUAAGCAGAGGAUAUCUCCACAGUAAGAACAAAAUACAUGACUUUGCACAGUUUCAUUCUGCAAAGGCUCACAGUGCCCUUCAAUGUCAGUAGAGAUGCACUAGCAGAUAAAACACAAAUGCAGUAAAUGUAUACCUGAGCAGUAUUGUCAUUCAAAGACCACACAGCCAAUACAUGGCUUAACUGAUCAUUUCUUGGACAAAGCUUCUGCUCACGAUCAUCAGCUGUAAAAAAUGUGUGGAAUGACUAAUUACCCAAGAACCAAAAUGGACAGCAAAAAAUCUGCUAUGUCUGAUGCUGGGAAACCAUGGACCUGAUGUUCUCAAAAUAUGUCCUAGUUGGAACACUGUUACACUCAUGUCACAUGGCCUUUGUAAUUCUGGCAUUGGAACAGACAGAAUAAAAGGUCAACAGAAAAAAAAAAAAAAAAAAAAAAAAA
ensembl:lncRNA